rnacentral:rRNA from 1 species
GGGUUGUGAGGUUAAGCGAACAAGCGUACACGGUGGAUGCCCUGGCAGUCAGAGGCGAUGAAGGACGUGCUAAUCUGCGAAAAGCGUCGGUAAGGUGAUAUGAACCGUUAUAACCGACGAUGUCCGAAUGGGGAAACCCGGUGCACUUCGGUGCAUCAUCGUUUGAUGAAUACAUAGUCAAACGAGGCGAACCGGGGGAACUGAAACAUCUAAGUACCCCGAGGAAAAGAAAUCAACCGAGAUUCCCCCAGUAGCGGCGAGCGAACGGGGAACAGCCCAGAGCCUGAAUCAGCUUGUGUGUUAAUGGAAGCGUCUGGAAAGUCGCACGAUACAGGGUGAAAGUCCCGUACAUGAAAGCACACAGGCUGUGAGCUCGAUGAGUAGGGCGGGACACGUGAUAUCCUGUCUGAAGAUGGGGGGACCAUCCUCCAAGGCUAAAUACUCCUGACUGACCGAUAGUGAACCAGUACCGUGAGGGAAAGGCGAAAAGAACCCCGGCGAGGGGAGUGAAACAGAACCUGAAACCGUGUACGUACAAGCAGUGGGAGCCUUCGUAAGAGGGUGACUGCGUACCUUUUGUAUAAUGGGUCAGCGACUUAUAUUCUGUAGCAAGGUUAACCG